UACGGAGGGGGCAAGCGUUGUUCGGAAUUACUGGGCGUAAAGGGCGCGCAGGCGGCUGCUCAAGUCAGGCGUGAAAGGCCUGGGCUCAACCCGGGAAUUGCGCUUGAGACUGGGCUGGCUUGAGUGCGGGAGAGGAUGGUGGAAUUCCCAGUGUAGAGGUGAAAUUCGUAGAUAUUGGGAAGAACACCAGUGGCGAAGGCGGCUCACUGGCCCGAUACUGACGCUGAGGUGCGAAAGCGUGGGGAGCAAACAGG
rnacentral:rRNA from 1 species